rnacentral:tRNA from 1 species
CGUAAGAUGGCUGAUAGAGAGCAAAGGCUUUUUAAGCCUUAACAGGGUACAAUUACCUCUUAUGA